UGAUGAUGAUGAUGAUGAUGAUGAUGAUGAUGAUGAUGAUGAUGAUGAUGAUGAUGAUCAUCAUCAUCAUCAUCAUAAUCGUAAUAAUCGUAAUAA
rnacentral:pre_miRNA from 1 species